GACGAACGCUGGCGGCGUGCCUAAUACAUGCAAGUUGAGCGCUGAAGGUUGGUACUUGUACCAACUGGAUGAGCAGCGAACGGGUGAGUAACGCGUGGGGAAUCUGCCUUUGAGCGGGGGACAACAUUUGGAAACGAAUGCUAAUACCGCAUAAAAACUUUAAACACAAGUUUUAAGUUUGAAAGAUGCAAUUGCAUCACUCAAAGAUGAUCCCGCGUUGUAUUAGCUAGUUGGUGAGGUAAAGGCUCACCAAGGCGAUGAUACAUAGCCGACCUGAGAGGGUGGUCGGCCACAUUGGGACUGUGACACGGCCCAAACUCCUACGGGAGGCAGCAGUAGGGGAUCUUCGGCAAUGGACGAAAGUCUGACCGAGCAACGCCGCGUGAGUGCAGAAGGUUUUCGGAUCGUAAAACUCUGUUGGUAGAGAAGAACGUUGGUGAGAGUGGAAAGCUCAUCAAGUGACGGUAACUACCCAGAAAGGGACGGCUAACUACGUG
rnacentral:rRNA from 1 species